GACCGAUCCUAAUGCCUAGUGGUUAGAGCGUCCGCCUCAAAUGCGGGAGGUCGCUGGUUCAAACCAGACCGAACCA